AUUUUUUAAGGCAUUUGGUUGUGCUGAUGAAAAAAUAUAUAUAAAUCAGCUUCAACCAACAACAAUUUGAUCAACCAAGAACGAUAGCUCUCACUUUCCACUUACUCACUGAUCAGUACUUUAUUUUCACAGAGCCCAGUCAGCCAACAAGUUUAUUAACAAAAAAGACAAUAUACUUGGUACAAAAAGUCCCAAAAAAAAAAAAA
rnacentral:misc_RNA from 1 species